AUUGAACGCUGGCGGUAGGCCUAACACAUGCAAGUCGAACGCGAAAGUCCUUCGGGAUGAGUAGAGUGGCGGACGGGUGAGUAACGCGUAGGAAUCUAUCCUGUAGUGGGGGAUAACGUUUCGAAAGGAACGCUAAUACCGCAUACGCCCCACGGGGGAAAGCGGGGGAUCUUCGGACCUCGUGCUAUAGGAGGAGCCUGCGUCGGAUUAGCUAGUUGGUGAGGUAAAGGCUCGCCAAGGCGACGAUCCGUAGCUGGUCUGAAAGGAUGAUCAGCCACACCGGAACUGAGACACGGUCCGGACUCCUACGGGAGGCGGCAGUGGGGAAUAUUGCGCAAUGGGGCGAAAAGCCUGACGCAGCCAUACCGCGUGUGUGAAGAAGG
rnacentral:rRNA from 1 species